rnacentral:rRNA from 1 species
GACGAACGCUGGCGGCGUGCUUAACACAUGCAAGUCGAACGAAGUGGCGAACGGGUGAGUAACGCGUAAUCAACCUGCCCUUCAGAGGGGGACAACAGUUGGAAACGACUGCUAAUACCGCAUACUGAAGGAGGGGAGGGGGUGGGAUUAGCUAGUUGGAGGGGUAACGGCCCACAAAGGCGAUGAGCAGUAGCCGGUCUGGGUGGAUGGACGGCCCCCUUGGGACUGGUGCACGGCCCAGACUCCUACGGGAGGCAGCAGUGGGGAAUCUUCCGCAAUGGACGAAAGUCUGACGGAGCAACGCCGCGUGAGUGAUGACGGCCUUCGGGUUGUAAAGCUCUGUUAAUCGGGACGCGGUACCGGAAUAGAAAGCCAUGGCUAACUACGUGCCAGCAGCCGCGGUAAUAC